UACGUAGGGUCCGAGCGUUGUCCGGAAUUACUGGGCGUAAAGAGCUCGUAGGUGGUUUGUCGCGUUGUCCGUGAAAACUCACAGCUCAACUGUGGGCGUGCGGGCGAUACGGGCAGACUGGAGUACUGCAGGGGAGACUGGAAUUCCUGGUGUAGCGGUGGAAUGCGCAGAUAUCAGGAGGAACACCGGUGGCGAAGGCGGGUCUCUGGGCAGUAACUGACGCUGAGGAGCGAAAAGCGUGGGGGAGCGAACAG
rnacentral:rRNA from 1 species